UUUCCAGACUCCUACGGGAGGCAGCAGUGGGGAAUAUUGCACAAUGGGGGGAACCCUGAUGCAGCGACGCCGCGUGGGUGAAGAAGCGCCUCGGCGCGUAAAGCCCUGUCAGCAGGGAAGAAAAUGACGGUACCUGAAGAAGAAGCCCCGGCUAACUACGUGCCAGCAGCCGCGGUAAUACGUAGGGGGCAAGCGUUAUCCGGAUUUACUGGGUGUAAAGGGUGCGUAGGUGGCAUGGCAAGUCAGAAGUGAAAGCCCGGGGCUCAACCCCGCGGACUGCUUUUGAAACUGUCAGGCUGGAGUACAGGAGAGGUAAGCGGAAUUCCUAGUGUAGCGGUGAAAUGCGUAGAUAUUAGGAGGAACACCAGUGGCGAAGGCGGCUUACUGGACUGUAACUGACACUGAGGCACGAAAGCGUGGGGAGCAAACAGGAUUAGAUCCCCGCGUA
rnacentral:rRNA from 1 species